CAUGCAGUCGAACGGUGAUGUCAGAGCUUGCUCUGGCGGAUCAGUGGCGAACGGGUGAGUAACACGUGAGUAACCUGCCCCCGACUCUGGGAUAACUGCUAGAAAUGGUAGCUAAUACCGGAUAUGACGAUUGGCCGCAUGGUCUGGUCGUGGAAAGAAUUUCGGUUGGGGAUGGACUCGCGGCCUAUCAGGUUGUUGGUGAGGUAAUGGCUCACCAAGCCUACGACGGGUAGCCGGCCUGAGAGGGUGACCGGCCACACUGGGACUGAGACACGGCCCAGACUCCUACGGGAGGCAGCAGUGGGGAAUAUUGCACAAUGGGCGAAAGCCUGAUGCAGCAACGCCGCGUGAGGGAUGACGGCCUUCGGGUUGUAAACCUCUUUUAGUAGGGAAGAAGCGAAAGUGACGGUACCUGCAGAAAAAGCACCGGCUAACUACGUGCCAGCAGCCGCGGUAAUACGUAGGGUGCAAGCGUUGUCCGGAAUUAUUGGGCGUAAAGAGCUCGUAGGCGGUUUGUCGCGUCUGCUGUGAAAUCCCGAGGCUCAACCUCGGGUCUGCAGUGGGUACGGGCAGACUAGAGUGCGGUAGGGGAGAUUGGAAUUCCUGGUGUAGCGGUGGAAUGCGCAGAUAUCAGGAGGAACACCGAUGGCGAAGGCAGAUCUCUGGGCCGUAACUGACGCUGAGGAGCGAAAGCAUGGGGAGCGAACAGGAUUAGAUACCCUGGUAGUCCAUGCCGUAAACGUUGGGAACUAGAUGUGGGGACCAUUCCACGGUCUCCGUGUCGCAGCUAACGCAUUAAGUUCCCCGCCUGGGGAGUACGGCCGCAAGGCUAAAACUCAAAGGAAUUGACGGGGGCCCGCACAAGCGGCGGAGCAUGCGGAUUAAUUCGAUGCAACGCGAAGAACCUUACCAAGGCUUGACAUAUACCGGAAACAUGCAGAAAUGUGUGCCCCGCAAGGUCGGUAUACAGGUGGUGCAUGGUUGUCGUCAGCUCGUGUCGUGAGAUGUUGGGUUAAGUCCCGCAACGAGCGCAACCCUCGUUCUAUGUUGCCAGCACGUAAUGGUGGGAACUCAUAGGAGACUGCCGGGGUCAACUCGGAGGAAGGUGGGGAUGACGUCAAAUCAUCAUGCCCCUUAUGUCUUGGGCUUCACGCAUGCUACAAUGGCCGGUACAAAGGGCUGCGAUACCGUAAGGUGGAGCGAAUCCCAAAAAGCCGGUCUCAGUUCGGAUUGAGGUCUGCAACUCGACCUCAUGAAGUCGGAGUCGCUAGUAAUCGCAGAUCAGCAACGCUGCGGUGAAUACGUUCCCGGGCCUUGUACACACCGCCCGUCAAGUCAUGAAAGUCGGUAACACCCGAAGCCAGUGGCCUAACCGCAAGGGAGGAGCGUCCGAA
rnacentral:rRNA from 1 species